rnacentral:rRNA from 1 species
UGAGAAAUUUUUAUUUUUUAUUGUAGAUUUUUUUCUUAUUUUAUUUUUUUUAAGUAUAUUAUGAAUUAAUUUAUUUUAUUUUGUUAACUGAAUAGGUAAUUUUAAACAAUUUUUAAGUAUUUAUAGUACCUUUUGUCUCAUGGUUAAUUUAUUUAAAUAAGUAUUUUUAAUUCCCGAAUCUAAAAGAUUUAUUUUUAAAAUUUAUUAUUAUGUUUCAUAAUAAUUUAUAAUUUUUUAAUAGUAAUUAAAAGUUAGUCGUUUUUUGUAUAUCUGGUUAAUUAUUAAAUGAAUUUAAUUCAGGAUUUUUUUUGUUAAAUUUAAUUUUUUAGAUUAAAAUCUAAUAUAAUUUUGGAUAAGCUGAAUUUUUGUUUAAAAUUUUUUUACUUAAAUUCUUAUUUUAGUUCUAAUAUUGUGCAUAAAGUUUUUUAUAGAUUAUGGAUUUUAUUUUUGAUUUUUUUUUAUUUAUUUUUAUAGUAAUUUUUUAUAAAUAAUUUAUAUUUAUUUUUAUUAAUGAUUAAAUUAGUAUAAUUUUUAUUUAGUUUUUAUGAACUAGGCAAGGCUUAAUAUCCAACUGUUUAUCAAAAACAUUUUUUUCAGAAUUAAAUUGAAAAUAAUCUCUGCCCAAUGAUAAUUUAAAUGGCUGCAGUAUAUUGACUGUACAAAGGUAGCAUAAUAAUUAGUCAUUUAAUUGAUGACUAGAAUGAAUGGGAACAUGAGAUUUUAACUUUAUUUAAAUUAAGAUUAAAAUUUAAUUUUUAGGUAAAAAAGCUUAACUUUUUUAUCGGGACGAUAAGACCCUAUAGAACUUAAAAUAAAUUUCUAAUAAGUAUUUUUAGUUUUUUAUUAUAAAGAUUUUUUUUUUAUUGGGGUGAUAAAUAACUUUUUAUUACUUUAUUUUUUUUUAUCAUUAUAUAUAUGUUUUUUAUGAUCUUGAGUUUUAGAUUGUAAGUAAAAGUUACCUUAGGGAUAACAGCGUAAUUUUAAUGGUGAGUUCACAUUUAUAUUAAAGUUUGCGACCUCGAUGUUGAAUUAAGAUAAAAUUAGGGGGUAGAUUUUCUUUGUUGUAAGUCUGUUCGACUUUUAAUUUCUUACAUGAUUUGAGUUCAAACCGGUGUAAGCCAGGUUGGUUUCUAUCUGAUAUAGAUUUAUUUUCUUUAGUACGAAAGGACCAAGAUAAUCAAUUAAAAUUGAAAUUUUUAAAU